AAAACAUUCUGAAUAAUAGUCAUAUGGUCAUUAUGUAAAUAAAAUGAAUGCGCAUACUUAUAGAUGUUAUAAAAACUACAGAACCUGUUAACUCACCUUGUAACAACUUUAUGAAACAUGUCAUAUGAACAAAUCGUGUUAAUACAUAUCACUUCUAUAUUAGUUGUUCAUUGUAAGAAUAUUUUAGGAUUAAAAAAGAAACUCUUGAUGGUGCCAGUCAUGGAGGCAUGCACCUGUAGUCCCAGCUACUCUGGAGGCUGAAGCAGCAGGAUCACUUGAGCCCAGGAGUUCUGGGCUGUAGAGCAUUAUGCUGAUUGGGUGUCUGCACUAAGUUCAAUAUUAAUAUGGUGACUUCCUGGGAGCAGGGGACCACCGGGUUGCCUGAGGAGAUGUGAACUGGCCCAGAUUGGAAACUGAGAAAGCUCAAAUUCCUGAGGUGACGAUUAGUAGGACACUGACUCUGAAAAGCCACUGUAUUCCAGCCUGGGCAACACUGCGAGAUCUUUUCUUAAAAAAAAAAAAAAAAAAGAGAGAGACAGAGAGAGAGGGAGAGACAGAGACAGAAAGACAGAAAGACAAGACGAAGGAAGGAAGGAAGGAGGGAGAGAGAAAGAGAGAAAGGAGAACAAGAAGAAAGAAAGAAGGAAAGAAAGAAAGAAGGAAGGGAGUAGCCUUGCAGUAAGCCGAGAUUGUGCCACUGCACUCCAGCCUGGGCGACAAAAAAAAAAAAAAAAAAAAAAAAGAAGCAAGCAAGCAAUAAAGGGAACUUCUAUCCCAUGUUUAUUGAUUUCUUUUUAAUUUCUAUGAGAUUAUCAUUUAGUCAUCCUUAUGCCAGUAAUCACAAGAUAAUCAUGCAGAGUCAAAUAAAAAAGAUCUGUUUAGUCCAUAAAUGAGGCUGAAAUACAUUCCUAGGAGUUUAUGUGCGUGAUCACGAGCACUGUGUUCCUCUAGAUGCUGACCAAUUAACCUAGGACCCUAGAACCAUGGGUGAGUUAGUGAGAAGAACGGGUAUCCUCUCUUUGAUGGAACUGGAGUGGUUUUGCAGGCGUUCAGGCCCUGGGAAGCAGCAAGGUUGGUGACUGUCAGGAUCAGACAAAGGUCAUUAACAGGACCC
rnacentral:lncRNA from 10 species